rnacentral:rRNA from 1 species
AAGUUUGAUCGUGGCUCAGAUUGAACGCUGGCGGCAGGCCUAACACAUGCAAGUCGAGCGGAUGAAGGGAGCUUGCUCCUGGAUUCAGCGGCGGACGGGUGAGUAAUGCCUAGGAAUCUGCCUGGUAGUGGGGGAUAACGUCCGGAAACGGGCGCUAAUACCGCAUACGUCCUGAGGGAGAAAGUGGGGGAUCUUCGGACCUCACGCUAUCAGAUGAGCCUAGGUCGGAUUAGCUAGUUGGUGGGGUAAAGGCCUACCAAGGCGACGAUCCGUAACUGGUCUGAGAGGAUGAUCAGUCACACUGGAACUGAGACACGGUCCAGACUCCUACGGGAGGCAGCAGUGGGGAAUAUUGGACAAUGGGCGAAAGCCUGAUCCAGCCAUGCCGCGUGUGUGAAGAAGGUCUUCGGAUUGUAAAGCACUUUAAGUUGGGAGGAAGGGCAGUAAGUUAAUACCUUGCUGUUUUGACGUUACCAACAGAAUAAGCACCGGCUAACUUCGUGUCAGCCGCCGCUGUAACACC